AUUGAACGCUGGCGGCAGGCCUAACACAUGCAAGUCGAACGGUAACAGGAAACAGCUUGCUGUUUCGCUGACGAGUGGCGGACGGGUGAGUAAUGUCUGGGAAACUGCCUGAUGGAGGGGGAUAACUACUGGAAACGGUAGCUAAUACCGCAUAACGUCGCAAGACCAAAGAGGGGGACCCUCGGGCCUCUUGCCAUCGGCUGUGCCCAGAUGGGAUUAGCUUGUUGGUGGGGUAACGGCUCACCAAGGCGACGAUCCCUAGCUGGUCUGAGAGGAUGACCGGCCACACUGGAACUGAGACACGGUCCAGACUCCUACGGGAGGCAGCAGUGGGGAAUAUUGCACAAUGGGCGCAAGCCUGAUGCAGCCAUGCCGCGUGUAUGAAGAAGGCCUUCGGGUUGUAAAGUACUCUCAGCGGGGAGGAAGGGAGUAAAGUUAAUACCUUUGCUCAUUGACGUUACCCGCAGAAGAAGCACCGGCUAACUCCGUG
rnacentral:rRNA from 1 species